CUUCCAGCGGGGUUCGGUGGGGAAGACUGCAGCAUGCUGUCCGUCCUCAUCCCCUCCUCCCAG
rnacentral:miRNA from 1 species